CCUACGGGGGGCAGCAGUAGGGAAUCUUCGGCAAUGGACGAAAGUCUGACCGAGCAACGCCGCGUGAGUGAAGAAGGUUUUCGGAUCGUAAAACUCUGUUGUUAGAGAAGAACAAGGGUGAGAGUAAAAAGUUCACCCCUUGACGGUAUCUAACCAGAAAGCCACGGCUAACUACGUGCCAGCAGCCGCGGUAAUACGUAGGUGGCAAGCGUUGUCCGGAUUUAUUGGGCGUAAAGCGAGCGCAGGCGGUUUCUUAAGUCUGAUGUGAAAGCCCCCGGCUCAACCGGGGAGGGUCAUUGGAAACUGGGAGACUUGAGUGCAGAAGAGGAGAGUGGAAUUCCAUGUGUAGCGGUGAAAUGCGUAGAUAUAUGGAGGAACACCAGUGGCGAAGGCGGCUCUCUGGUCUGUAACUGACGCUGAGGCUCGAAAGCGUGGGGAGCAAACAGGCUUAGAUACCCCAGUAGUC
rnacentral:rRNA from 1 species